UUUUAUGGAGAGUUUGAUCCUGGCUCAGGAUGAACGCUGGCGGCGUGCCUAAUACAUGCAAGUCGAGCGAACGGACGAGAAGCUUGCUUCUCUGAUGUUAGCGGCGGACGGGUGAGUAACACGUGGAUAACCUACCUAUAAGACUGGGAUAACUUCGGGAAACCGGAGCUAAUACCGGAUGAUAUUUUGAACCGCAUGGUUCAAAAGUGAAAGACGGUCUUGCUGUCACUUAUAGAUGGAUCCGCGCUGCAUUAGCUAGUUGGUAAGGUAACGGCUUACCAAGGCAACGAUGCAUAGCCGACCUGAGAGGGUGAUCGGCCACACUGGAACUGAGACACGGUCCAGACUCCUACGGGAGGCAGCAGUAGGGAAUCUUCCGCAAUGGGCGAAAGCCUGACGGAGCAACGCCGCGUGAGUGAUGAAGGUCUUCGGAUCGUAAAACUCUGUUAUUAGGGAAGAACAUAUGUGUAAGUAACUGUGCACAUCUUGACGGUACCUAAUCAGAAAGCCACGGCUAACUACGUGCCAGCAGCCGCGGUAAUACGUAGGUGGCAAGCGUUAUCCGGAAUUAUUGGGCGUAAAGCGACGCGUAGGCGG
rnacentral:rRNA from 1 species